rnacentral:tRNA from 1 species
ACCUCCGUGGUCAAGUAGGUAUCACACUAGGCUUGCACGCUGGAGGUCCCGGGUUCGAUUCCCGGUGGGGUCG